rnacentral:rRNA from 1 species
GAUGAACGCUAGCGGCAGGCUUAAUACAUGCAAGUCGUGGGGCAGCAUGAGUAGCAAUACUUGAUGGCGACCGGCAAACGGGUGAGGAACACGUACACAACCUUCCUUCAAGCGGGGAAUAGCCCAGAGAAAUUUGGAUUAAUACCCCAUAAUAUAUUUGAUAAGGCAUCUUAUUAAUAUUAAAGCUUCGGCACUUGAUGAUGGGUGUGCGGCUGAUUAGAUAGUUGGCGGGUAACGGCCCACCAAGUCUACGAUCAGUAGCUGAUGUGAGAGCAUGAUCAGCCACACGGGCACUGAGACACGGGCCCGACUCCUACGGGAGGCAGCAGUAAGGAAUAUUGGACAAUGGACGAAAGUCUGAUCCAGCCAUGCCGCGUGAAGGAUUAAGGUCCUCUGGAUGUAAACUUCUUUAUAUGGGACGAAAAAGGGCAUUACUUGUUCACUUGACGGUACCAUAUGAAUAAGCACCGGCUAACUCCGUGCCAGCACG